GACGAACGCUGGCGGCGUGCUUAACACAUGCAAGUCGAACGGAAAGGCCCUGCUUUUGUGGGGUGCUCGAGUGGCGAACGGGUGAGUAACACGUGAGUAACCUGCCCUUGACUUUGGGAUAACUUCAGGAAACUGGGGCUAAUACCGGAUAGGAGCUCCUGCUGCAUGGUGGGGGUUGGAAAGUUUCGGCGGUUGGGGAUGGACUCGCGGCUUAUCAGCUUGUUGGUGGGGUAGUGGCUUACCAAGGCUUUGACGGGUAGCCGGCCUGAGAGGGUGACCGGCCACAUUGGGACUGAGAUACGACCCAGACUCGUACGGGAGGCAGCAGUGGGGAAUAGUGUACAAUGGGCGGAAGCCUGAUGCAGCAACGCCGCGUGCGGGAUGACGGCCUUCGGGUUGUAAACCGCUUUCGCCUGUGACGAAGCGUGAGUGACGGUAAUGGGUAAAGAAGCACCGGCUAACUACGUG
rnacentral:rRNA from 1 species